rnacentral:lncRNA from 1 species
CUCGCUGCAGUUAACAGCCAGCAAAGCCAGACAGGAAGACUCUUGUCUCCUUUCUGCUGAGUCUGAAGGAUGCUUAUAGCAGUAUCAUCCCUGCUCCGGACCUCACUCCUCCAGGGAGGGCUCGUACCUUAGGGUGGCUCCCGCCUGGCCAGCUGAGAAGCUCCGCUGCUCCCAAAGAAACACUGAAUGCAGUAACCUCAUUAAGAAUUGAGUCUCUUUCCCACCAGCUGGAGUUCAGUGUAAACUGCCUUGGCUACAGUUGUAAUAUAUGGGGAAUGGAACCACUAGAGGAUGCAGGGGCCACCACCUGAGUUUUGAAAUCUUUAUGAGUGUUUACAUCUGUGUGGAGCACUAUUUGGGUUCCAGUAUUUGGAUUCGGAGACAUAUUCUCAGGUGCCAAGUUGCAAGUGCACGAUUUAUGUGGUUUUUCAGAUUAAUGUGUUAUAAAGGAAUUUGGCUACUACCAUGCAAUUCUCCUUUUAAAUGUUUGACAGCAUUACAUACUGAAAUCAGAACCUGUGUUUUUAAUGUAUUCUAGCAAUGCAAAUUUCACAACCUUUUGAAAUAUAGUUUUUUAAAUUAAUUUUAGCCAGAGGAAAUCUCUUAGAAUAUACAGACUUAUUUAAGUAACUCUUUAAACAUAUUAAACAACUAUCUACUAAAC